ensembl:snRNA LOC120093401 U1 spliceosomal RNA
AUCCUUUGACCUGGGAAGUCACAAAUCGAGAGGCUUAUCCAUCUCACUCAGGUUGUGCUGACCCCUGAGAUUUCCCCAAAUGCGGGAAACUCGACUGAAUAAUUUGUGGUAGUGGGGGACUGCGUUCAUGCUCUCCCCUA